rnacentral:rRNA from 1 species
CACGGGGGGAGCAAGCGUUGUUCGGAAUUACUGGGCGUAAAGGGCGAGUAGGUGGCCAUCUAAGUCAGACGUGAAAUCCCCCGGCUUAACCUGGGAACUGCGUCUGAUACUGGACGGCUUGAGUAUGGGAGAGGAACGUAGAAUUCCAGGUGUAGCGGUGAAAUGCGUAGAUAUCUGGAGGAACACCGGUGGCGAAGGCGGCAUCCUGGACCAACACUGACACUGAGGAGCGAAAGCCAGGGGAGCAAACGGG